UCGGGAAUUUUGCUCAAUGGGCGAAAGCCUGAAGCAGCAACGCCGCGUGAGGGAUGAAGGCCUUCGGGUUGUAAACCUCUUUUCUCAGGGACGAUAAUGACGGUACCUGAGGAAUAAGCCACGGCUAACUACGUGCCAGCAGCCGCGGUAAUACGUAGGUGGCAAGCGUUGUCCGGAUUUACUGGGCGUAAAGAGCGCGCAGGCGGCCGAGUAAGUCGAAUGUGAAAGCCCCCGGCUCAACUGGGGAAGGUCAUUCGAUACUGUUCGGCUCGAAGAUAGGAGAGGGAAGCGGAAUUUCAGGUGUAGUGGUGAAAUGCGUAGAUAUCUGAAGGAACACCAGUGGCGAAGGCGGCUUUCUGGCCUAUUCUUGACGCUGAGGCGCGAAAGCUAGGGGAGCGAACGGGAUUAGAUACCCCGGUAGUCCUAGCCGUAAACGAUGAACACUAGAUGUUGGUGGUAUCAACCCCGCAGUGUCGUAGCUAACGCAUUAAG
rnacentral:rRNA from 1 species